AUAUUAGGUUGAUUGAGCCGACGAUAAAGCUGCCGACUCCGGCGAGAGUGAGCUGCAGGUUGGCGGCGAUGGCCAAGUGGGUUGCAGAACCAAAACCUUCUUGUUCUUGUUCUCGUCGUUUCUACAGGUACCAAGGCACUUCUUUGUUUGCUUGCAGGAGAGCGGGGUGGAGACUCAUGUCAAGACUAUGCCGGAAAAAGGUCGUGGAAGCCGGCAACCCCGAGGGCCGGGAGGGGCACCAUCGACGGCCGGAUGCAGGGGCGGCUCUGGUCGCCCAUAGGCAGGAGCAACGGAUGGGUAGGAACGGCUCUCGCGGCAGUGGAGAAAGUUGCAGAAAUUUCAGAUCACUUCUGCUGAAUCUGAUGAAGCGAGAUUGGGGAAAGGAGCAGAUUCUGAAGCAAGGGUAUGCAUGUUUCUCAUUCUCGUCACGUUCAAUCGACUCGAAAUCCAUGAAUUGACUUGCUAUUGAUAGAUUUUGUGGAUUUUGAUGAGGGGUUCUGCCCUUUGAUCUCUCAAUACUAUCGAUUAUGUUCCCUUCCUGCUUUUUCCCAAGUCCAACAAGUUGUCUACAUAUCGGAGCUGCAGGAGCAUGAAAAAUCCAUAGAACAAAUGCCAACAUCUAAUGUUGUUGUUUUAGAAUGGUUCAUUGCACAUAUAAAUCGAUUGAAUUGGACCAAAAGAUGGGUUGGAUAUUCACUAUGAAUGAACAGAAAGCAAAUGAUUAUUUGACUUGCUAAAUAGUUUAUGUAAAUUGUUUGUUCACAUCAACCACUUGUGAUCUCAUUUUCUUGCAUGGCAUACACCCAGAUCUUUUAACCUUAUCAUAUGUUUGUUGGAGUAACAUUUCCGAAAGGGAAAUCUUCAUGCUUUCUUUCGGCAGCCCAUAUAUGCACAUUCUAAACCAGCUUGUGGGAGAGAUGAUGAAAGCCCCAGAAGUCCUCUGCAACAAAAAGUCCAUGGGGAACCGAGUCAGAAGCAUGAUCAAGUGAACAGUGUGUCAUUGGAUCGAAUGCCUGAGCAUCUCCACACAACUUUGGGAGUUUCAGGUGUGACCCAACCAUCUAAUGGCGAGACGGCUAUCCAAGUGCAAACACUGUUGAAUCAACCGACGGAUGAAAGAGUAGUGCUGCACAGUCGCAGAGAAGAAGUGAUAAAAAGUGCCAUGAAGUUUUCAUACAUGUCAAUCGGCAUUUCUGGUGGUGCAUUGGUAACUAUCUUCUUUGGAAACUACGUAAACCAAUGGGAGCAGAGCCACAUUUUUCACCUCAAGAUCUGCACCUUGAUCAUACUCGCAUCCUUUGUUUCUGGAGUCAGCAUUCCGCUGCUUAAUUUUCUCCAACACCACAUCAGUGUCUCUCUACAACUCUUCAGAAGCCUCAAGUGCACAGCCUUUGCACUAUUUGUCCUGGCGCUGCUCGACGUGUCCUUUCUUUUUAUGAAGAUACUUGCACUGUUUGCGUUCGUCCCAACAAUUGCCGUGGUUGUGAUUGUCUAUGUGAUUGCAUUCGAUGAGGUGCCGUCGACGAGUGAUGACCAUCAUCAGCAAUAGUCUCUCUUGUAAUAUGCUGAUGCUGAAUAAUAUAUGAUAGUAUAGAUAUAUUGUAAUUCA